rnacentral:rRNA from 1 species
AGGACGAACGCUGGCGGCGUGCUUAACACAUGCAAGUCGAGCGGUAAGGCUCCUUUGGGAGUACACGAGCGGCGAACGGGUGAGUAACACGUGAGCAAUCUGCCCUUCACAUUGGAAUAACUUUCGGAAACGGAAGCUAAUACCGAAUACGACCACCGAUGGCAUCUUCUGGUGGUGGAAAGUUCCGGCGGUGAAGGAUGAGCUCGCGGCCUAUCAGCUUGUUGGUGGGGUAAUGGCCUACCAAGGCGACGACGGGUAGCCGGCCUGAGAGGGUGACCGGCCACACUGGGACUGAGACACGGCCCAGACUCCUACGGGAGGCAGCGGUGGGGAAUAUUGGACAAUGGGCGAAAGCCUGAUCCAGCAACGCGCGUGAGGGAUGACGGCCUUCGGGUUGUAAACCUCUUUCAGCAGGACGAAGCGAAAGUGACGGUACCUGCAGAAGAAGCACCGGCCAACUACGUGCCAGCAGCCGC